UACGUAGGGAGCAAGCGUUGUCCGGAAUCAUUGGGCGUAAAGCGCGCGUAGGCGGCCUCAUAAGUCCGUUGUGAAAGUCAAAGGCUCAACCUUUGAAAGCCGAUGGAUACUGUGAGGCUAGAGUUCGGAAGAGGCGAGUGGAAUUCCUGGUGUAGCGGUGGAGUGCGCAGAUAUCAGGAGGAACACCGGUGGCGAAGGCGGGUCUCUGGGCCGUAACUGACGCUGAGGAGCGAAAGCAUGGGGAGCGAACAGG
rnacentral:rRNA from 1 species